CGUGGCCCUUAUUGAAGCUGCAGGUGCUUCCACAUCUCUGCUGUGGUCAAAGAGGAGCCAGAGUCACAGUUUUCCUUGAUGGUUGCCGUUGUGUUUGCUGUGACUGAUCUGCAGCAUUUUGGGAAAAUACAGUU
ensembl:snoRNA